UAAAAGAAGAUUUUUGAACAGAAUAUCAAGGCACCAUUAAAGUGCAAUGAGAAGGUGAGGACAUUUAUCUCAAUUUGUCCCAGGUGGAUCCAAUACUCUGCUUCCACAGGCUACUUCUCCUAAUUAAGAUCUCAUUCAGAAGAUACCUUCUGGCAGGGCAAUUAAAAUGAAAAGGGAAUGAAUGUGCUUGUUUGGAGUAAAUAUAAACAGCUGCAAGGCUACACCUUGGGAAGCAAUUUUAAAGUUGGGAAAGUUCUGCAGUGGGAGAGGAAAAGAUUUUCUCAACUGCUUUUUGUGUUUGUUUUUUACAAAAGGCUUGCUACCAUUUAGGGUAGCUAAAGACUGUGGUAUUGUUAUAAACCACCGGAGUUGAAUUGAAAGGGCUUUUUCAUUUGGCAACAAAAGAAAGACUGGGAUUCAGCUGUGGAAAUUGAGAUGCUUCUGGAAAUCAAGUCUUUUAAAUCUCAUCCUGUUACAUGGAGGCAGAAAGCACCCAGAGGGAGCAGUGCCCUGGACUGGCUGUAUGUGGGACACCUGCUGCCAGGCUUUAUCAUCCGAGUGCUUCCAGCACAAGCAUGCAAAAUGCACAGUGACAAGUAACAUGAACGCAAAUUCUGUGCUUGCAGUGGAAGACGCGUGGCAAACACUUGACCCUGCUCUGGUUCCUGCUUCCAUCAUCUGGGACCUCUGGCUUACCUCCUCAACUAUCCCAUCUCCAGAAGAGGUCUUUGCCUUGCUGGGCGUACCCACUCCUGCUCUGCCAUGGCUCAUGUAGUAAAGCUCAACUGCUUGUGGAUGAAGAUGAAUUUAGUAGACAGAAGUCUGCUGUCCUUAAGAAGUAAUGGUGAAGGGGUUCCUGUGAAGCGGUGCGGUACAAUGUAUGCUUAAUGCAUCACACAACAGGGUAAGUUUGUCCUAUCUGUAUGAGGCCUUUCACAGCUACUUUAUGUUUUACUAAGAAGGAACAUCUGCAAGAUCAAGUACCUUCCUCUGGAGAGGAAAAAAAAUAGUAUUUGUUUUGGAGUAUUAAUGUUAAUUAUCAUCUAGACACAUUAUUGACUUUUCAGUUUGACUCUGCUUCCUCAGUCAACAUUUGAAAAUGUAAAUAACAUUUUCAUCUACAGACGAGGCCAGGAGGGAAUGAAAAAGACAAAUUUUCCAAAAAGCAGAAUAACAGACAGGGCUUUCUUAUAUGUCUCAUAUAUGCUCCCACAUUUUCCAGGAGUGACUAGCAAAAUUCUGAGACAACUCAUGCAGUCAAGUUUUAUGUGGAAAAAGUAAUUGGCGUGGAGAUUAGGUGGCACUUGCCAAAAUGCUGGGCUCUGUCUACAUGUUAAUCAACCAGUGGGUGAGGGAAUAAUCAAAAUGCAUACUUUGUAAUAGGUAACAAAGCAAAAAUCUGUUCUGUCAUGUGAAGACUGAAAAAAUGGUAAGCAUGUGCAUGACCGAAAAGGUACCAGGUUCUUCAAUAUGUAUGAACCACUGAAUUUUGACAGGGACAGCAGCAAUCAAUCACCGUGUGUGGCAGACCAUGAAACUCACUCUGGACUAGGCCAAUGAAUCAAAGUACUGCUGAAAUUGCAAAUACUAAUGCAACUGUCAAGGACUUAAAGUAAUUAAAUUCAGUGGUAUUAAAGCAAUAAAAUUCUACCAACAUGGUAGUCCUGAGGCAACGCAAUGUCUUAAUAACCUAAAAAUUGAAUUUGCACUCUCUUCACUGCCCCGAAUCAUAAAUAAAAGUUGUGGUUAAUUGUGCCUGUCAGGUUUCCAAGGCAGACAUAUUUUUUUUUUGUGAACGUCAGAUACUUCUGCAAUUUUCCUAAGCACAUGCUGUGUCCUGAUACCCAUUUCUAGCUAUUUUUUUUCUCUCCGCAUUGGUGUACAUGUACAUUGGUGUUACAUGAUUGCCAUUUCCCCCUUAAAGGCAACUGGACACAUAAUGUACUUUCUGUAGCGAUUAUGUAGGUAGCUAUUUAAGAAAAUACACUUUCAGUUUGGAUAUAACAUUUGCUUAAUAAUGCUAGUACUUUGAGAUCAUCAUUGACCAUGUGCAUUUGAAAUACGUGCAUAAAUGCUAUAGGUAUGUUAUUUGUAUCAUCUGUGCAUUAAAGCAAUGCACAAAUUAGACCUGUUGGAUUUCUGAAGUUGUUAUUGGGAUUACAAGAUUUUAAAAAACUGUUCUCUAAUGCUUUCUGUGGCAUCUAAGCAAUCUUAGAGUCCCUCCUUGUGACUCAGU